rnacentral:tRNA from 3 species
GCCCCAGUGGCUCAAUGGAUAGAGCGGCACUCUGACUCAGUUGCAGGUUGCGGGUUCGAAUCCCGCCGGGGGCA